rnacentral:rRNA from 1 species
CGUAAGUGACCGGUACCUGCAGAAGAAGCGCCGGGCUAACUACGUGCCAGCAGCCCGCGGUAAUACGUAGGGCGCAAGCGUUAUCCGGGAAUUAUUGGGCGUAAAGAGCUCGUAGGCGGUUUGUCGCGUCUGCCGUGAAAGUCCGGGGCUCAACUCCGGAUCUGCGGUGGGUACGGGCAGACUAGAGUGAUGUAGGGGAGACUGGAAUUCCUGGUGUAGCGGUGAAAUGCGCAGAUAUCAGGAGGAACACCGAUGGCGAAGGCAGGUCUCUGGGCAUUAACUGACGCUGAGGAGCGAAAGCAUGGGGAGCGAACAGGAUUAGAUACCCUGGUAGUCCAUGCCGUAAACGUUGGGCACUAGGUGUGGGGGACAUUCCACGUUUUCCGCGCCGUAGCUAACGCAUUAAGUGCCCCGCCUGGGGAGUACGGCCGCAAGGCUAAAACUCAAAGGAAUUGACGGGGGCCCGCACAAGCGGCGGAGCAUGCGGAUUAAUUCGAUGCAACGCGAAGAACCUUACCAAGGCUUGACAUGAACCGGACCGGGCUGGAAACAGUUUUUCCCCUUGUGGGCUGGUUUACAGGUGGUGCAUGGUUGUCGUCAGCUCGUGUCGUGAGAUGUUGGGUUAAGUCCCGCAACGAGCGCAACCCUCGUUCUAUGUUGCCAGCACGUGAUGGUGGGGACUCAUAGGAGACUGCCGGGGUCAACUCGGAGGAAGGUGGGGACGACGUCAAAUCAUCAUGCCCCUUAUGUCUUGGGCUUCACGCAUGCUACAAUGGCCGGUACAAAGGGUUGCGAUACUGUGAGGUGGAGCUAAUCCCAAAAAGCCGGUCUCAGUUCGGAUUGGGGUCUGCAACUCGACCCCAUGAAGUCGGAGUCGCUAGUAAUCGCAGAUCAGCAACUCUGCGGUGAAUACGUUCCCGGGCCUUGUACACACCUCCCGUCAAGUCCCG